rnacentral:rRNA from 1 species
AGUGAACGCUGGCGGUAGGCCUAACACAUGCAAGUCGAACGGCAGCACAGUAAGAGCUUGCUCUUACGGGUGGCGAGUGGCGGACGGGUGAGGAAUACAUCGGAAUCUACUUUUUCGUGGGGGAUAACGUAGGGAAACUUACGCUAAUACCGCAUACGACCUACGGGUGAAAGCAGGGGAUCUUCGGACCUUGCGCGAUUGAAUGAGCCGAUGUCGGAUUAGCUAGUUGGCGGGGUAAAGGCCCACCAAGGCGACGAUCCGUAGCUGGUCUGAGAGGAUGAUCGGCCACACUGGAACUGAGACACGGUCCAGACUCCUACGGGAGGCAGCAGUGGGGAAUAUUGGACAAUGGGCGCAAGCCUGAUCCAGCCAUACCGCGUGGGUGAAGAAGGCCUUCGGGUUGUGAAGCCCUGUUGUUGGGAGAGAAAAGCAGCAGGUUAAUACCCCGCUGUUCUGACGGUACCCAAAGAAUAAGCACCGGCUAACUUCGUG